GACGAACGCUGGCGGCGUGCCUAAUACAUGCAAGUAGAACGCUGAAGGAGGAGCUUGCUUCUCUGGAUGAGUUGCGAACGGGUGAGUAACGCGUAGGUAACCUGCCUGGUAGCGGGGGAUAACUAUUGGAAACGAUAGCUAAUACCGCAUAAUAGUAGAUGUUGCAUGACAUUUGCUUAAAAGGUGCAAUUGCAUCACUACCGGAUGGACCUGCGUUGUAUUAGCUAGUUGGUGGGGUAACGGCUCACCAAGGCGACGAUACAUAGCCGACCUGAGAGGGUGAUCGGCCACACUGGGACUGAGACACGGCCCAGACUCCUACGGGAGGCAGCAGUAGGGAAUCUUCGGCAAUGGACGGAAGUCUGACCGAGCAACGCCGCGUGAGUGAAGAAGGUUUUCGGAUCGUAAAGCUCGGUUGUAAGAGAAGAACGAGUGUGAGAGUGGAAAGUUCACACUGUGACGGUAGCUUACCAGAAAGAGACGGCUAACUACGUG
rnacentral:rRNA from 1 species